rnacentral:rRNA from 1 species
CAGCCGCCGCGGGAAUACGAGGGGGGCAAGCGUUGUUCGGAAUUAUUGGGCGUAAAGGGUGCGUAGGCGGUUUGGCAAGUUUGGUGUGAAAUCUUCGGGCUCAACUCGAAGUCUGCAUCGAAAACUGCCGGGCUUGAGUAUGGGAGAGGUGAGUGGAAUUUCCGGUGUAGCGGUGAAAUGCGUAGAUGUCGGAAGGAACACCUGUGGCGAAAGCGGCUCACUGGACCAUAACUGACGCUGAUGCACGAAAGCUAGGGGAGCAAACAGGAUUAGAUACCCCAGUAGUCCCUGUCUCUUAUAC